CAAAGAUAAUGUAUUUAAGACAGUAAUAAAAUUGUCCACGAUAUCCUUUAGGAGUAAAUGUGGAGAAAACUUUUCUUAAUUAUAAAUGGUUAUUACUGAACAAAACAAAUACUAACGCAGAGGCCCUUGCUUACUUUACAUUUUUCAGUGAACUCUAUUUGACCUUCACUUUAAGGACACACAGCAGGAAAGCUGUCUGGAAUACCCCACCCUAAACAGUGGAUAAAUUUAUUACAUCUCUGAGUAAAGAAUGCCCAAGCAUUGGCUCACAACUUGAUAGAGGAAGCAAAACAAAAAUAGCCCAAGCCCUUUUUGUUCAGGAAAAGUUCAAUUUUUAGGUUUAUCCUCAAAACAUUGAAGUUGAAGAGACUUGGAGUUCGCUGACUUAGUGGUAUAUUUCUAUUAUGAAUAAUAAGAAAUAUGAAGCAUUUGUUACUAUUGUAAAAACCUGAUGAGCUCUAUUCCACAGUGACUCAAAACUCUGCUGAGUUAAUACUUUUGGAAUAAGACUGAUCUUGGCUUGAAAUUACACCGAGUUAAGUGGACACAUUUUAGGCCUUAUCUUACUUGACUGCUCUGCAAACUUUGACAUUGUUGACUGAACUCUUCUCUUUGAAAGUCUUCCUUCUCUGUGAAACUCUUCAGCAGAGCUGAACUCUUCCUUGGCAUCUGAGAUUCCUCACUCUCAAAGAGAUUUUCCACUCUACCUUAUGAUGGCUCUUGACCAGUCUCUUAAUAGUUGGUCUUGCUGAGAUUUUGUCAUGAUCUUGUUAGAAUUAAACACUAAACACAUAGUCCCUUGGUGAUGUCAUCUAUUUAGGAGAUCAACUACUACAUAUAGGAUAAAUAAUUUAAAAAUCAAUUAUAUUCUGAGAUCAAAAUCUCUGUUUCCAACACCUCACUAGAUUUUUUACUUGGAUGUUCUUCUGGUAUCCCACAUUUAACGUGUCAGAACUGAACUCAUUAUGUUCUGCCUGCUUCUCCUAUUCUUUCUGUUUCCAUAAAUGCUACCACCUAGUUGCCUCAUUCAAAAACCAUUCUUGACUCCACCUUCAUUGUUUCCCACAAAUAAUCAAUCUCCAAGACUGUGUCUAUAUUCUAAUCCUCUCUCAUCUUAUCCAUCUUUGGUCAUAUUCAUUGUCAGUGUCUCAGUUCAGGCUCCCAUUGUCUGUCUCUUGAUCCUGCCUCCUCACUGGUUUUCCUUGACUCUUCUCUAUGCUUCAGAGUUCUACAAAGUGUUACAAAAUAGACAUCUGAUCAUUUCUUUCACCUGAUUAAACUCUCCCAAAAUUUGCUAUCAUCCUAAUCAUAAAGUCAAACUUGUAAGCAAGUAAAGAAGUCCUGGAUGCUCUGAUUUCUUUCUAUUUUUUAAUAUCUUUAGCUUUAGCGUUUUCCAUAUUUCCUCUUGUAUUCAACCUUAUGGCCAUAUUAAAAUACCUGAAGUUGUUCAAUGAACCAUUUUCUGUCUUUCCUCUGGGUCUUUGCUUAUGCCCUUCCCUCUUCCUGGAAUAAUCUCUUUGUUUGUUUCAUUGUUUGUCUGGCCUCUUAUACACAAACAGUUGUCCUUAUGAUGUAAAUGUGGAGAAAACCAACAGAUGACAGCAACAUUUACCUGAAAAUGAAGCAAAGAAAUGAGGAGUUUAAAAGACAGAGAAGAACUGCCUUUAAUCAAAUGCUUGGAGAUUUUGAACUUCUUAUAUUUUGAUUACCAAUGUACUUUUUUUUUUUCAAAUUUGUAAAGGUACUGGGUUUUCCUAGCCCUUUCUGUUUAUUUCAUGUUCCUAUCCAUAUAAAAUAGAAAGUGGUUUGACUGUUUUCAAGGCAUAAAAGAAAAACAACUAUUACCUUUAAGCAUAUACUAUAGCAUUAAACGCAUAUUGUCUCUUUUCAAUUCUAGGCCUAAGUUAGGAGUUCUUUCUUGUUACUUCUAUGAGAUCUGAUGCAUUUACAUUUCAUGAUACUCAUGAAAAAAUAUUUUCAAUGCCUAUUUACUUAUCUUUCUCCUUCAAGAGUUAUUUGAGGGCAUGAGCUGUAUCUUUUCAACAUCAUAUCCCUAAUGUCUUUCUCGGUACUUGGUACGUGGUAGGCACUCAACAGAUAUGUUUUAGAAUUAACUAAUUAAUUGUGGAAUUAUAAUCCAAGAAGAAUGUGCUUCAAAUAUCGUGCACUAUUUCAGAGUCACUAAGCAUCAGAUGAGGAUUUCUGGGCAACUUUUCUUAGCUGGUGUACCUUCAGCUUACAUCCAGACAUGGGGAUGAUAGAGAGACACUAGACAAUUAAUUUUAGGUUAUAGUAGCCAUGAACUGGGCCCUGAAAGCACAUAGCCAGUGUUUCAGCAAUCUUCUCCGUGCCUUUCUAAGGGAGUAUGAGAGAGACCUUUUAUGGUCCUUGAGGGCAUUAUGGCCUCCAUAAUCUCUGAGGCCAGGGAAAUACUUAACUCCACAUUCAUGGCUUUUGGGAAUUCAAGUGGAAUCCAGAAUGUUGGACCUGAUGCUCUAUGAAUUCAUGGGAAUCAAAUCAAGGUUAUCAGUGGUUACAGAGUGCCAAUAGGGCUUGAUAUUUCCAUAGAUUUUCUUCUUCCAAAUGAAUCUUGAAAUUAUUUGUCUAUAAUUCUGCCGGAGGCCUCUCCAGAUUGUGAUGCACUGGGAUCAAGCCACCAUGAACAUGUCCUCAGGUCUCCAGUCUUCUGCCAUUGCAUGAUAAAUGGAGCUUGUCAAACAUGGAGCAGAGCUGAACUUUCUGAAUUGCACAGGACUGUUCAGAGUGCUUGGAAUGAAACCCACCCACGAUUAAAACAAAAAAGAAGGAUGACUUGCUGCUGCAUUUGUGUGGAAAGUGCUAAGUUUGCUGCUAGGGAAGUAGGAGAGGAAAUAAGGAAAACAAUAAACCAAGUACAGCUUUGCAAAUACCCAGACACAUUGGAUGGACACAGAAGCUUUCACUGGGAUAUUGUGAAGGUUAGGUACUUCCUGUCUCCAUUACUUCCUGUGACCGUGACCUCACAUUACAAGCCACUAUGGUUGGAACUGCUGGCAAAAUGGAAAGAACCAGAAAGAACAUCAAAGGAGAGUUUUAAAAGGAUAUGAAAUGUAUUAAUUUGUCAUAAUUAUCUAUUUUUGAUAGAAGAAUCUCAGAGGUACUUAAGUUGAUGUCUUGGACCUUCUGUCCAGUGCUGGCAUCUUGUAAAACGUCUUAAGUUCCUACCAGGUAACUUCUGCUUUCUGUCACAAUGCAGGGGAGAAGUUCUAGGAGGAAGUCAUGUAUUUUUCUCAUCUUUAUAUGUAUACUCUGUAUUUCCCUAAUUAUACAUACACAUAUAUUUAUGUUACACCUUCUAUUUCUCUUAUUUACAUAUAUUAUUAACAAAAACUUUUUAGAAGAUUGUAGAAAUAAGACGAUGUAGGCAUUUGAAAUUUUAUGAGAAAGAGCAUGUCAGAUUUGGGAGUUUGGGAUUUUUAGAAAUUGCCAUAAGAAGUAAGUAAAUGCUGUCACCUUGCCUAUAGCUAAUAAAAAUAUAUUAUACAUUUGAAGUUUUCUAAGAGAGUGGAUUCUCACUGUACACACACACGCACACACACACACACAAUAUAACUAUGUUAGGUGAUUCACAUGUUAAUUAGCUUGAUUAGGGUAAUCAUUUCACAACAUAGACAUAUAUCAAACAUGUAUGCUUUGAAUAUAUACCAUUUUUAUUUGUCCACUAUACCCCAAAAAAGUUGG